UACCUUGAUGAGGCUGCCUGGCUUCAACAGAAGCCUCGCCAGGCACUGGAGUGAGGCAGUUUUUGUGGGACCCACACAGCACAUAGGAUUCCAAUCCAACGAGCGCCAACAAGCUUCAGGCACGAGAGAUUCUUGAGGAGCUCACCAAUGGCGACUCUCUCCUAAACUCAGAUCCGUUUUUCGCGGAACUUGGUGAGAAGACGAAAUGGAAGCCGGAAAAGAGGAAGGAAGGAAUGUCGACGAGGCGGACAACCAAGUUCCAAUCGCUGCUAUUGGAUUUGUUUCGGUUCGAGAGGCCGCCAUUCUUAACUCCUACCCAUUCAUGCUCCAAUCAUACUUCAACCACUAGAUGGGGAAACAAAAUGAAAGAGGCUGCCUAAAGAUGCUCCUGAUAGUUGCAGCCAAAGCCUAGUUGGUGCAAUUGAGCGGGCUCUUCGCAAUGCUGCAAAUAGGAAGGGUAAAUAUAUAUUUGAGGCCACUACUGGGAUGACUUUUGACUGUCUGAGUGAAGCGCAAGAAUUUAAUAUAUAUUCUUGGGAGGUUGGAUUUGGUACAAAAAAAGGUGAUAAAUAUGGGAAGACAAUGCAAGAAUUCCAAUGCCAGUGUCACAACAACAUGCCUGAUCAAAGGAAAUCCUAGACAUGAACCCACAGCUGUUUGGGAUUUCUAAUGUUUUGGUGCCAACAAUUUGAUUGGUGUUAUCUUUUUUUCUUCUCAAAGCUGGUUCCUUGAGUUGUUGUAACAUGUAUAAGCCAUCUGGUCCUACCAACUGCAGCUGUCAUGAAUUAAAUUGGUGUCAUGAAUUGGUGUUAUAUGACUUGGUGUCAUAUCAA